GUGGCCUUAGUUCAGCGGCUAGAACGCCUCGUUGUGGCCGAGGAGGUCAGGGGUUCAAAUCCCCUAGGCCACC
rnacentral:tRNA from 1 species